rnacentral:lncRNA from 1 species
GAGCAAAAGGAGGGGGCAAGUAUUCAAGUAAUAGUCCUCACCUACGGAUGAACGUAGGUAGACGAGGAAUUACACUUAGCCUCAGUCGCAGAAAGGCGAGCAAAAGGAGGGGGCAAGUAUUCAAAUAAUAGUCCUCACCCACGGAUGAACGCGGGUAGACGAGGAAGUACACUCAGCCCCUACCGCAGAAAGGCGGAUAAAAGGAGGGGGUCGGGUACUCUCAAAAACCCGCCACAGGGAAGAGAACCCAAGCAGUGCUCAAGGACAGCUCAGGCAAGGCGUCAAGGUGGGCAAGCAGGGUUCCGCGGGAGAAAUCGGGCCAGACAGGUGUGCAAGGAGUAGGCUUCGGCUAGGACAAACCGGACAAUAGUUGGCAAAAGCGCGUGACAAACCUCCGUGGAAGCAUAGAUACAACCUCGCAGGCGUGGAGGGGGGGGAGUACUGGUGAGAGAGGAUCGUACAACCAGGGACAUCACCAGAAAUCCACAUCCCAGCACGCAAAGAGGGGGGGAAUACUGAUAGUACAGGGUCCGACACACAGACCAUAGUACUAAAAGACGUAUCCCAAAGUAC